CCUGAAAGAUGAUCAGGUUGAUAGGUCUGAGGUGGAAGUGUGGCGACACAUGGAGCUGACAGAUACUAAUCGAUCGAGGACUUAACCAC
rnacentral:rRNA from 1 species